AGGACGACAUUAGACGAAUCAUCUGGAAAGAUGAAUCAAAGAAGGUAAUAAUCCUGUAGUCGAAAAUGUUGUCUCUCUUGAGUGGAUCCUGAGUACGACGGAGCACGUGAAAUUCCGUCGGAAUCUGGGAGGACCAUCUCCUAAGGCUAAAUACUCUCUAGUGACCGAUAGUGAACCAGUACCGUGAGGGAAAGGUGAAAAGCACCCCGGAAGGGGAGUGAAAUAGAACCUGAAACCGUGUGCUUACAAGUAGUCAGAGCCCGUUAAUGGGUGAUGGCGUGCCUUUUGUAGAAUGAACCGGCGAGUUACGAUUUGAUGCAAGGUUAAGCAGUAAAUGUGGAGCCGUAGCGAAAGCGAGUCUGAAUAGGGCGUUUAGUAUUUGGUCGUAGACCCGAAACCAGGUGAUCUACCCUUGGUCAGGUUGAAGUUCAGGUAACACUGAAUGGAGGACCGAACCGACUUACGUUGAAAAGUGAGCGGAUGAACUGAGGGUAGCGGAGAAAUUCCAAUCGAACCUGGAGAUAGCUGGUUCUCUCCGAAAUAGCUUUAGGGCUAGCCUCAAGUGAUGAUUAUUGGAGGUAGAGCACUGUUUGGACGAGGGGCCCCUCUCGGGUUACCGAAUUCAGACAAACUCCGAAUGCCAAUUAAUUUAACUUGGGAGUCAGAACAUGGGUGAUAAGGUCCGUGUUCGAAAGGGAAACAGCCCAGACCACCAGCUAAGGUCCCAAAAUAUAUGUUAAGUGGAAAAGGAUGUGGCGUUGCCCAGACAACUAGGAUGUUGGCUUAGAAGCAGCCAUCAUUUAAAGAGUG
rnacentral:rRNA from 1 species